UUUCCAGAGAUGGAUUGGUGGCCUUCGGGAACUUAGAUACAGGUGCUGCAUGGCUGUCGUCAGCUCGUGUCGUGAGAUGUUGGGUUAAGUCCCGCAACGAGCGCAACCCUUUUCCUUAUUUGCCAGCGGGUCAUGCCGGGAACUUUAAGGAUACUGCCAGUGACAAACUGGAGGAAGGCGGGGACGACGUCAAGUCAUCAUGGCCCUUACGGCCAGGGCUACACACGUGCUACAAUGGUCGGUACAAAGGGUUGCUACCUCGCGAGAGGAUGCUAAUCUCAAAAAGACCGAUCGUAGUCCGGAUCGCAGUCUGCAACUCGACUGCGUGAAGUCGGAAUCGCUAGUAAUCGCGGAUCAGAAUGCCGCGGUGAAUACGUUCCCGGGCCUUGUACACACCGCCCGUCACACCAUGGGAGUCUGUUGCACCAGAAGUAGGUAGUCUAACCGCAAGGAGGACGCUUACCACGGUGUGGCCGAUGACUGGGGUGAAGUCGUAACAAGGUAAGCGUAGAUGA
rnacentral:rRNA from 1 species